UACGGAGGGAGCUAGCGUUGUUCGGAAUUACUGGGCGUAAAGCGCACGUAGGCGGCUUUGUAAGUUAGAGGUGAAAGCCCGGGGCUCAACCCCGGAACUGCCUUUAAGACUGCAUCGCUUGAAUCCGGGAGAGGUGAGUGGAAUUCCGAGUGUAGAGGUGAAAUUCGUAGAUAUUCGGAAGAACACCAGUGGCGAAGGCGGCUUGCCAGAACGCGCUCGACGGUGAGGGAUGAAAGCUGGGGGAGCAAACCGG
rnacentral:rRNA from 1 species